AUGUUCGCUACCCAAUCCCGUUCUCGUGUGAACAACUGCCGCCAAUCCCUCACCAAUGCACAGAAAGGCUCCUUGAGCGCAUCCGCAUACUUUGGGCAGAUGAGAGCACUCUCGGAUGAGCUAGCUGCCGCCGGGAACCCCAUAAUAGAAGCAGAUCUUCUUUCUCACAUCAUUGCAGGGCUCGACAUGGACUACCAACCUCUGAUCUCGGUGCUGGACGUACGCACUGCUCCCCUCUCGGUGGAUGAUCUCUUUGGCAUGGUCUCCAACUUCGACUAGCGCGUUGAGAUGUUCCACGGG
rnacentral:rRNA from 1 species